rnacentral:rRNA from 1 species
GAUGAACGCUGGCGGCGUGCUUAACACAUGCAAGUCGAACGGUGAACACGGAGCUUGCUCUGUGGGAUCAGUGGCGAACGGGUGAGUAACACGUGAGCAACCUGCCCCUGACUCUGGGAUAGGCGCUGGAAACGGCGUCUAAUACUGGAUAUGUGACGUGACCGCAUGGUCUGCGUUUGGAAAGAUUUUUCGGUUGGGGAUGGGCUCGCGGCCUAUCAGCUUGUUGGUGAGGUAAUGGCUCACCAAGGCGUCGACGGGUAGCCGGCCUGAGAGGGUGACCGGCCACACUGGGACUGAGACACGGCCCAGACUCCUACGGGAGGCAGCAGUGGGGAAUAUUGCACAAUGGGCGCAAGCCUGAUGCAGCAACGCCGCGUGAGGGAUGACGGCCUUCGGGUUGUAAACCUCUUUUAGCAGGGAAGAAGCGAAAGUGACGGUACCUGCAGAAAAAGCGCCGGCUAACUACGU